rnacentral:rRNA from 1 species
AGUGAACGCUGGCGGUAGGCCUAACACAUGCAAGUCGAACGGCAGCACAGUAGAGCUUGCUCUUACGGGUGGCGAGUGGCGGACGGGUGCGGAAUACAUCGGAAUCUACUUUUUCGUGGGGGAUAACGGAGGGAAACUUACGCUAAUACCGCAUACGACCUACGGGUGAAAGCAGGGGAUCUUCGGACCUUGCGCGAUUGAAUGAGCCGAUGUCGGAUUAGCUAGUUGGCGGGGUAAAGGCCCACCAAGGCGACGAUCCGUAGCUGGUCUGAGAGGAUGAUCAGCCACACUGGAACUGAGACACGGUCCAGACUCCUACGGGAGGCAGCAGUGGGGAAUAUUGGACAAUGGGCGCAAGCCUGAUCCAGCCAUACCGCGUGGGUGAAGAAGGCCUUCGGGUUGUAAAGCCCUUUUGUUGGGAAAGAAAAGCAGCAGGUUAAUACCCCGCUGUUCUGACGGUACCCAAAGAAUAAGCACCGGCUAACUUCGUG